UCUGCCGAGGGGCGCUGCGACCGUCUAUCAGGGACGGCCAGGCUUGGCAGGAUCGAUCGAGACCAUGCACGGUCUCCAUCCGCUUCAACGGCGCCCGGUUGCG
rnacentral:ncRNA from 2 species